GGCUUGUUGAUUAUAAUUUAAAGUCAGACCUGCCCACUGAGGAUUUAAAUGGCCGCGGUAUAUUGACCGUGCAAAGGUAGCAUAAUCACUAGUUUUUUAAUUGAGAGCUUGAAUGAAAGGUUCAAUGAAAAAAAUUCUGUCUCUAUGAAAUUUUAUUAGAAUUUUAUUUUAAAGUUAAAAAGCUUAAAUUUAAGUAGAAGACGAGAAGACCCUAUAGAGUUUUAUAUUUAAAUGAAGAAUUUAAGUUUUUGGAAUUGGAAAUUUUAUUUUUGUUUAUUUAUUUUAUUGGGGUGAUAAAAAAAUUUGACUAACUUUUUUUUUAACAUUACAUUGAUAUAUGAAAGAAUGAUCCUUUAAUUAAGAUUAAAAGAUUAAAUUACCUUAGGGAUAACAGCGUAAUUUUUUUUAGAGUUCUUAUCGAAUAAAAAGAUUGCGACCUCGAUGUUGGAUUAAAAUUAAUUGUUGGUGUAGAAGCUAAUGAAUUAGGUCUGUUCGACCUUUAAAAUUUUACAUGAUCUGAGUUUAGACCGGUGUGAG
rnacentral:rRNA from 1 species